AGUGAACGCUGGCGGUAGGCCUAACACAUGCAAGUCGAACGGCAGCACAGUAAGAGCUUGCUCUUACGGGUGGCGAGUGGCGGACGGGUGAGGAAUACAUCGGAAUCUACUUUUUCGUGGGGGAUAACGUAGGGAAACUUACGCUAAUACCGCAUACGACCUCCGGGUGAAAGCAGGGGAUCUUCGGACCUUGCGCGAUUGAAUGAGCCGAUGUCGGAUUAGCUAGUUGGCGGGGUAAAGGCCCACCAAGGCGACGAUCCGUAGCUGGUCUGAGAGGAUGGUCAGCCACACUGGAACUGAGACAGGGCCCAGACUCCUACGGGAGGCAGCAGUGGGGAAUAUUGGACAAUGGGCGCAAGCCUGAUCCAGCCAUACCGCGUGGGUGAAGAAGGCCUUCGGGUUGUAAAGCCCUUUUGUUGGGAAAGAAAAGCAGCAGGUUAAUACCCCGCUGUUCUGACGGUACCCAAAGAAUAAGCACCGGCUAACUUCGUG
rnacentral:rRNA from 1 species